CUGAAUAGUCAGGGGAGCUUGUACGACAGGCUGAGAGGAAGUUAUGAACUUCGACCCUAAAACCUGAUUUGGGUAAUGCCAACGUAGGAAGCAAACGCAGAUUUCAG
rnacentral:ncRNA from 2 species